rnacentral:rRNA from 1 species
CUAAGCCAUGCGAGUCAUAUGUUCGUAAGAACAUGGCGUACUGCUCAGUAACACGUGGAUAACCUGCCCUUGGGUCCGGCAUAACCCCGGGAAACUGGGGAUAAUUCCGGAUAACGCACAUAUGCUGGAAUGCUUUAUGCGUAAAAUGGAUUCGUCUGCCCAAGGAUGGGUCUGCGGCCUAUCAGGUAGUAGUGGGUGUAAUGUACCUACUAGCCUACGACGGGUACGGGUUGUGAGAGCAAGAGCCCGGAGAUGGAUUCUGAGACAUGAAUCCAGGCCCUACGGGGCGCAGCAGGCGCGAAAACUUUACAAUGCGGGAAACCGUGAUAAGGGGACACCGAGUGCCAGCAUCCUAUGCUGGCUGUCCGGGUGUGUAAAAUACACCUGUUAGCAAGGGCCGGGCAAGACCGGUGCCAGCCGCCGCGGUAACACCGGCGGCCCGAGUGGUGAUCGUGAUUAUUGGGUCUAAAGGGUCCGUAGCCGGUUUGGUCAGUCCUCCGGGAAAUCUGACAGCUUGACUGUUAGGCUUCCGGAGGAUACUGCCGGACUUGGAACCGGGAGAGGUAAGAGGUACUACAGGGGUAGGAGUGAAAUCUUGUGAUCCCUGUGGGACCACCUGUGGCGAAGGCGUCUUACCAGAACGGGUUCGACGGUGAGGGACGAAAGCUGGGGGCACGAACCGGAUUAGAUACCCGGGUAGUCCCAGCCGUAAACGAUGCUCGCUAGGUGUCAGGCAUGGCGCGACCGUGUCUGGUGCCGCAGGGAAGCCGUGAAGCGAGCCACCUGGGAAGUACGGCCGCAAGGCUGAAACUUAA